rnacentral:rRNA from 1 species
AGUGAACGCUGGCGGUAGGCCUAACACAUGCAAGUCGAACGGCAGCACAGUAAGAGCUUGCUCUUACGGGUGGCGAGUGGCGGACGGGUGAGGAAUACAUCGGAAUCUACUUUUUCGUGGGGGAUAACGUAGGGAAACUUACGCUAAUACCGCAUACGACCUACGGGUGAAAGCAGGGGAUCUUCGGACCUUGCGCGAUUGAAUGAGCCGAUGUCGGAUUAGCUAGUUGGCGGGGUAAAGGCCCACCAAGGCGACGAUCCGUAGCUGGUCUGAGAGGAUGAGCGGCCACACUGGAACUGAGACACGGUCCAGACUCCUACGGGAGGAAGCAGUGGGGAAUAUUGGACAAUGGGCGCAAGCCUGAUCCAGCCAUACCGCGUGGGUGAAGAAGGCCUUCGGGUUGUAAAGCCCUUUUGUUGGGAAAGAAAAGCAGCAGGUUAAUACCCCGCUGUUCUGACGGUACCCAAAGAAUAAGCACCGGCGAACUUCG